CCUACGGGAGGCAGCAGUGAGGAAUAUUGGUCAAUGGGCGCAAGCCUGAACCAGCCAUGCCGCGUGCAGGAUGACGGUCCUAUGGAUUGUAAACUGCUUUUGUACAGGAAGAAACACUCCCUCGUGAGGGAGCUUGACGGUACUGUAAGAAUAAGGAUCGGCUAACUCCGUGCCAGCAGCCGCGGUAAUACGGAGGAUCCAAGCGUUAUCCGGAAUCAUUGGGUUUAAAGGGUCCGUAGGCGGGUUUAUAAGUCAGUGGUGAAAGCCCAUCGCUCAACGAUGGAACGGCCAUUGAUACUGUAGAUCUUGAAUUAUUAGGAAGUAACUAGAAUAUGUAGUGUAGCGGUGAAAUGCUUAGAGAUUACAUGGAAUACCGAUUGCGAAGGCAGGUUACUACUAAUGGAUUGACGCUGAUGGACGAAAGCGUGGGUAGCGAACAGGAUUAGAUACCCUGGUAGUCCACGCCGUAAACGAUGGAUACUAGCUGUUCGGAGCAAUCUGAGUGGCUAAGCGAAAGUGAUAAGUAUCCCACCUGGGGAGUACGUUCGCAAGAAUGAAAACUCAAAGGAAUUGACGG
rnacentral:rRNA from 1 species